CCAUAAUGCACCACACACUCAUGUGGUAGAUUGUGGAUGUUCCAGGGGCCUUCCAGCCCCAGAAACCCCCUGCUGGCAGGAGCUGGGAAUCAUCUGGACAAGCGAUCCACUCGCUCAGCAAAGGAGAAAGGAUCAUCUGCAGGGAGGCUCAACUACUGCACUGUGAUGGCAAAACAGAGAGAACCUGGCCUAUAUGCCGUUUCCUGCCCAGCCUCUUUUCUUCUCUAACUGUUGCCCAGGAGGAGGAGAUGGAGAUCUCUGCUUCUCUUCCCAUCCAGGGACACAGCCUUUUCGUAUUUUCAGAUUUGCAUCUGUGAACACAACUGUACGCUGAGAUUCCUUGACCACGUCAUUUGUUUUCUCUUCAUCUUCUCUCCCUCCCUCCUCUGAUCUAACAAUAUUCUAAAUGGGCUCCAAACCUCCUGAGAGAAGAGUCAAGGCUGUUCUGAAGCAGAACAACAGACAGUAACCCUUAUAAAAAGACACUCAUCAAAACAUUAUUGUUGUUAUCCGUAUCUAUCUACCUAUACACACACUCACAGAGACAAAUGCACAAACACGGUAAUGCCUUGCCAAAGGGAAUCUACAAAGAGGGCAGGUUUCUCCACAGUAAAAGCAUGGGAAACAGUGGAGAUGUCUAUAACACAGCUCAUAUAGCACUUUCUGAAGGAGUUUUAUGGAGAGGUUAUUCUUGUGCACUUCUACAGGGUAUGUUGAGAAACACAGGCCUGUCACCCACUCAGUACAUAUUUUGUGCUUCAGUAUACUGACUAUGUUU